rnacentral:rRNA from 1 species
AUUGAACGCCGGCGGCAGGCCUAACACAUGCCAGGCGAACCGUAACAGGAAACAGCUUGCUGUUUCGCUGACGAGUGGCUGACGGGUGAGUAAUGUCUAGGAAACUGCCUGAUGGAGGGGGAUAACUACUGGAAACGGUAGCUAAUACCGCAUCACGUCGCAAGACCAAAGAGGGGGACCUUCCGGCCUCUUGCCAUCGGACGUGCCAAGAUGGGAUUAGCUUGUAGGUGGGGUAACGGCUCACCUAGGCGACGAUGCCUAGGUGGUCUGAGAGGAUGACCGGCCACACGGGAACUGAGACACGGUCCAGACUCCGAAGGGAGGCAGCAGUGGGGAAUAUUGCACAAUGGGCGCAAGCCUGAUGCAGCCAUGCCGCGUGUAUGAAGAAGGCCUUCGGGUUGUAUAGUACUUUCAGCGGGGAGGAAGGGAGUAAAGUUAAUACCUUUGCUCAUUGACGUUACCCGAAGAAGAAGCACCGGCUAACUCCGUGCCAGCAGCCGCCGUAA